rnacentral:ncRNA from 13 species
CGUCUUGAGUGCCAGCGUUCAGCCCCGGCUUGCUGGCCGGCAACCCUCCUUAUGCAGCGGGGUGCCCCGGGUGGUGACGAGGCCGCGGCAACCCCGCCGACGGCAAGUGCCGACC